UCAGGUAACACUGAAUGGAGGACCGAACCGACUUACGUUGAAAAGUGAGCGGAUGAACUGAGGGUAGCGGAGAAAUUCCAAUCGAACCUGGAGAUAGCUGGUUCUCUCCGAAAUAGCUUUAGGGCUAGCCUCAAGUGAUGAUUAUUGGAGGUAGAGCACUGUUUGGACGAGGGGCCCCUCUCGGGUUACCGAAUUCAGACAAACUCCGAAUGCCAAUUAAUUUAACUUGGGAGUCAGAACAUGGGUGAUAAGGUCCGUGUUCGAAAGGGAAACAGCCCAGACCACCAGCUAAGGUCCCAAAAUAUAUGUUAAGUGGAAAAGGAUGUGGCGUUGCCCAGACAACUAGGAUGUUGGCUUAGAAGCAGCCAUCAUUUAAAGAGUGCGUAAUAGCUCACUAGUCGAGUGACACUGCGCCGAAAAUGUACCGGGGCUAAACAUAUUACCGAAGCUGUGGAUUGUCCUUUGGACAAU
rnacentral:rRNA from 1 species